GCUGCAAAAAGCCUGCGGCGCUCGGAGGCGCCCGGUCCUGGGGACCUCUUUCCACUCUUUACUCUCGGGAUAGGAGGAUAGGACUGGGGGGUUGCUUUUCGGUUUUCUGGCUUUGUUUUUAUCGGGGGUUGGACGGGUUUUAUGUUUCCUAUUUUUCCUCUUUAUUUUUCUCGGGUUUUUUUUCUCUCUUUUUUUUUUUCGCCUUUUCUUUCCUGUCAUUCUCCCAGCCAAAAGCCGCCUUCGAUCCUUUUGAUUUGAUGUAGCAAAGAUUGUGUCCAGAUUAUCUGAAAUUGACACUGAAGAAGGCCAAACCCAAACCUCAUUAUGUGAUGCUGGAGAUCAUAUCUAGGUGGGCUCGAGCAAGGCAAGAGCCUCAUCUGCUGGCCCAUCACUCCAGUCCUCCCAUCCUUCCAACCCAGCUCUUGCUCCAGUUCCCACCUGGACGUUGGAAACCCAUGCCAAGCUGAUCCGAACCCUCCUGGACUUUCUAGGGUAUUCAAAGAAAUCCGGAAAGGAAGGUUUUUGCUUUGGGGUCUGAUAUGCCUGGCUCAGCGCACAGAACCACCCAGAGGCCCAGCCAGUGGCAAGGGACGCUCUCGGAUUUGUCUUUUGCUGGAUUAGUUGCGCACGUACCUGGAUCCUCCAGGCGGCUCUGGGCGAGGCUGGCGCUGCCGGGGUAGGACUGCACCGAACUGAUGUAGGGGCUGGACGCGUGGCUGCUGACCGAGUUGACGUAAGGGUAGCCCAGCGGUCGGGAGAAG